GAUGAACGCUGGCGGCGUGCCUAAUACAUGCAAGUAGAACGCUGAAGGAGGAGCUUGCUCUUCUGGAUGAGUUGCGAACGGGUGAGUAACGCGUAGGUAACCUGCCUGGUAGCGGGGGAUAACUAUUGGAAACGAUAGCUAAUACCGCAUGACAACAGUUAUUGCAUGAUAACUGUUUAAAAGGGGCAACUGCUCCACUACCAGAUGGACCUGCGUUGUAUUAGCUAGUUGGUGAGGUAACGGCUCACCAAGGCGACGAUACAUAACCGACCUGAGAGGGUGAUCGGCCACACUGGGACUGAGACACGGCCCAGACUCCUACGGGAGGCAGCAGUAGGGAAUCUUCGGCAAUGACGGAAGUCUGACCGAGCAACGCCGCGUGAGUGAAGAAGGUUUUCGGAUCGUAAAGCUCUGUUGUAAGAGAAGAACGAGUGUGAGAGUGGAAAGUUCACACUGUGACGGUAUCUUACCAGAAAGGGACGGCUAACUACGUG
rnacentral:rRNA from 1 species